UGACUCAUCUGUCUGUGGAAUGUUGUAGCCACAGUCUUCCAUGUCCAAGGUGACAAAAGGGCCUUCCACCGCUGCCGUCCUGAACUCAUCGUGCACUGGGGAGAGGGCAAAUGUGAAUGGACAGCUCUCAUUGUCAUAGAGGAGUUAACAAAAAGAACUUCCUGAUAGUGAGGCCUUGAAAUUAGCCCAUGCAGAAGUUAUCUAAUCUCCUUCCCAGGAGAUAUUUAGGAGCAGGCUGGGAAGCCAGCACCAGGUAGAGGCCUGUCUCCCUUCCCAAGUCACUGGGAGCAGCAGCCCUUCCUUGUAUACCCAGCUGGUAGGAGUGAUAACUAAAAGUCAGUAGUUCUGAGUUGACCAAAAGCCACCCCCUUGACCAAAAGCCAAAUCUAGUAAACUUAACUUUCUGCUGCUGAAAUCCAACUGCAAAACCCUGCCACCUUUCUGAAGUAGCAUUCAGCCUCACCAUGUGGCAGCUGACAGGGUCACUAUAGACUCAGUCUGCUACCCUUGCAUCAAGAGCUUCCCAAGGUACCCAGGUAACUCUUGCUGCUCUGGGUUUCCAACAGAGGUUACCAAUCCAGGCAGUGGUCAUUAUGGCAGGCAGUACAAAAAAAGGACGAGCAUUGACACUAGCUUUUGCACAACUGUUGACUUGGGUUUGAGGCAACUGUUACUACCCUCCCCUAAACUGACAGGGACCCAGGUAUACUAACUGUUGUUUGACAAGGAAAAUAUGGAGAGACUGACCCCAAACCCUCAGCCCUGGCACUCUCACCAUGGCAAGCGCUGACAGCAAAGCCAAUUCGUUUUCGGGCCCGAUCAAAGACAACGUAGAAGCCCUCCAUGAUAACAGCUCCCAUAACAGUGCCCGUGGAUGACUGUGAGAUGGCAAACUUGUAACAGUCGUCUUGGGACGUGGCCACAUCUUCCACUGGCCGCAGGUAUUGCUAGGGGUAAGCAAUCACAGGGUGAGUGUCUUCCUCACUCUCCUUCACCCCAUCUCUGCCUUGUAGGCAUCUAUGCCCUUCCCUUUACCAUCCCUGAGCUCUAACGGGUUUUCUGAGACCCCUUUACUGCUGGACACUACUCAUCUGUUUUGUCUUCCAAGUUCUGGCAAGCCAUACCUGCUCACUGUCUCCCAGUGUGUACUUUUAAGAGAGAUCCCCCUGACUCAGGCUGGGACAUACCUGCGGAAGGAUGGUGAUGCGGAAGGACUGGUUGGUAACCUCACCCAUUAGGUAGAGUGAGAUGACUGGGAAAAUGUUCCAAGGGGUGGUGCCUGCUUGCCAGCACACCAGCUGCUCUCCUAGCCAGAAACCAUCAGGGAACUUCUCCGUCUGUGUUGGCAAGAAGGGGAUAACAAUGAGGAAAAGCCUCUUUAUCAUCUCGCCCCUCCCAUGUUCAGAUACAUUAACUGGGCCCUUCAUUUGCUUUUCCAGUGAAAUAUCUAAAGUGGGGAGGGGUAAACCAACCAGAGGAUUACAGGAAGAGAGAGGGAGUGUGAUGUCAAACUUUUGUACCGGGGGAUUGUGUGAUGAGCAAAGUGACAGCCAUAAAGGGGAAGAGUUUUUUUUUUUUUUUUGAAACAGUGUCUCACUCUGUUGCCCAGGCUGGAGUGCAGUGGCGCAAUCAUGGCUCACCGCAACCUCCACCGUCCUGAGUUAAAGUGAUUCUCCUGUCUCAGCCCCCUGAGUAGCUAGGAUUACAGGCGUGCGCCACCACACCCAGCUAAUUUUUGUACUUUUAGUAGAGAUGGGAUUUCACCCUGUUGGUCAGGCUGGUCUUGAACUCCUGACCUAGUGAUCUGCCCACCUUGGCCUCCCAAAGUGCUGGGAUUACAGGCGUGAGCCACCACGCCUGGCUAGGGGAAGAGUGUUUUAAGAGCUCUGAGUAGAAGGGUCUAAGUGCAGACAUCUUGGCUGUUGCUGAAGAAUGUGACUCUCACCGCCUCCCUCUGACACUGUACCAUCUCUUUUACCCCCAUCCUUAGUCCACUCACGGAGGAGGCUGCCUUGAUGGAUUUGACUGCAGCUUCAAACACUUUCUUGGGCAAACGAAGAUCCUGUCCAUUGAUCUCCACCCGCACAAUGAUCACCUCAUAAUACCACUCCCGCCGGAUGGGUGUAUACCAGAGACUGCCUGUGUACAGCGAGUGGUCGAUACCUCCAAUGAUCUAGGGAAAAAAAGAGGCAGGUACCCGUGUCCUGGCACAGAAGGAGAGUGAGUCCCCCAAGGACCAAGCAAUAAGAUCAGUGAUUUCUUGGGGUGGCAAGGUCUUCUACAGGCUACCCUUUUCAUCUUCCUGCUUCUAAACAAAUCAUACCCAAAGUGAUUUCUAGUUUCUUAAAUGUGUUCAGGAGAAAAGACUUUCCGGGAUUUUUAAUUAUUUGUUUCAGAAUCAUACAGCCCUUGAUAUAAAGUUAUUUAAAUCUAAACUGCCACAAUAAAUGUUGAAUGAAUGGUUAUUUGUUUAUAUUAUAAGUUUUAUUUUCUCUGCUUAUUGGAGAACCAUUCACCAUUGUUCUAAUUAAUUAAUAAAUAGACAAACUUCU
rnacentral:lncRNA from 1 species